rnacentral:rRNA from 1 species
CCUACGGGAGGCAGCAGUGGGGAAUAUUCCACAAUGGGGGAAACCCUGAUGCAGCGACGCCGCGUGAGUGAAGAAGUAAUUCGUUAUGUAAAGCUCUAUCAGCAGGGAAGAAAAUGACGGUACGUGAGUAAGAAGCCCCGGCCAACUACGUGCCAGCAGCCGCGGUAUUACGUAGGGGGAGAGGGUUAGCCGGAUUUACUGGGUGUAAAGGGGGCGUAGACGGCAGUGCAAGUCUGGAGUGAAAGGCGGGGGCUCAACCCCCGGACUGCUCUGGAAACUGUACGGCUUGAGUGCAGGAGAGGUAAGUGGAAUUCCUAGUGUAGCGGUGAAAUGCGUAGAUAUAAGGAGGAACACCAGUGGCGAAGGCGGCUUACUGGACUGUAACUGACGCUGAGGCUCGAAAGCGUGGGGAGCAAACAGGAUUAGAUACCCGGGUAGUC